AGUGAACGCUGGCGGUAGGCCUAACACAUGCAAGUCGAACGGCAGCACAGUAAGAGCUUGCUCUUACGGGUGGCGAGUGGCGGACGGGUGAGGAAUACGUCGGAAUCUACUUUUUCGUGGGGGAUAACGUAGGGAAACUUACGCUAAUACCGCAUACGACCUACGGGUGAAAGCAGGGGAUCUUCGGACCUUGCGCGAUUGAAUGAGCCGAUGUCGGAUUAGCUAGUUGGCGGGGUAAAGGCCCACCAAGGCGACGAUCCGUAGCUGGUCUGAGAGGAUGAUCAGCCACACUGGAACUGAGACACGGUCCAGACUCCUACGGGAGGCAGCAGUGGGGAAUAUUGGACAAUGGGCGCAAGCCUGAUCCAGCCAUACCGCGUGGGUGAAGAAGGCCUUCGGGUUGUAAAGCCCUUUUGUUGGGAAAGAAAAGCAGCAGAUUAAUACCCCGCUGUUCUGACGGUACCCAAAGAAUAAGCACCGGCUAACUUCGUG
rnacentral:rRNA from 1 species